UACGAAGGGGGCUAGCGUUGCUCGGAAUUACUGGGCGUAAAGGGCGCGUAGGCGGGUCGUUUAGUUAGAGGUGAAAGCCCGGGGCUCAACUCCGGAAUUGCCUUUAAGACUGCAUCGCUAGAACGUCGGAGAGGUAAGUGGAAUUCCGAGUGUAGAGGUGAAAUUCGUAGAUAUUCGGAAGAACACCAGUGGCGAAGGCGACUUACUGGACGACUGUUGACACUGAGGUGCGAAAGCGUGGGGAGCAAACAGG
rnacentral:rRNA from 1 species